rnacentral:misc_RNA from 1 species
GAUGAAGAACGCACCAAAAUGCGAUAAGUAAUGUGAAUUGCAGAAUUCAGUGAAUCAUCGAAUCUUUGAACGCACAUUGCGCCCGCCAGUAUUCUGGCGGGCAUGCCUGUUCGAGCGUCAUUUCAACCCUCAAGCACAGCUUGGUGUUGGGACUCGCGUUAAUUCGCGUUCCUCAAAUUGAUUGGCGGUCACGUCGAGCUUCCAUAGCGUAGUAGUAAAACCCUCGUUACUGGUAAUCGUCGCGGCCACGCCGUUAAACCCCAACUUCUGAAUGUUGACCUCGGAUCAGGUAGGAAUACCCGCUGAACUUAAGCAUAUCAAUAAGCGGAGGA